CGUUAAAACAUCGAUUCCCGUACGAUCAACGAAGUUAAGCAACGUCGAGCCUGGUCAGUACCAAGUUAGGUGUCCACUUGAGAUGUGCUGGUGCU